CUGACCACAUUAACCUCCAGUUAAGUGAAGUUAUUAUAUGUACCAUAUAAAUAAGAUUUACCAAGCAUGGUUCUAUUCAUGGUUUAUUCAUUCAGGGGAAAAAUGAUCUUCACAGCACAGUAAAACAAGUGAGGAACAUGUACUGGCUUGUACUUCUGCCAUUUAUGUUGCAAUUUCCUUGUAUGUCAACACCAUUGUUCACAGUCCUGCAAUUUUUAAAGUGUGCUGGCCAAUAUGAUGAAAACAUUAGCAGAAUACAACCCAAUUUCCCUAUAUGCUAGUUAUCAUGGAAAACGGCUGACCAAAAGACAAAAUUCCUUCAAAAAAUUUACUUUAUGCACUUCAAGUUGUCUGGAAACACUCAGUUGGAUACUUCCAAAGAGCAAAUGGCAGGUCAAGUUUAGAACACAUGACUUCCUCACUAAUUAUAUUUAAAUAGCAUGCAGUGAGUGAGAAAUCAGAUUCCCCAUAGACGCUGGAGAAAGACUGAAUUCUUACUCUUCAAAGAAAAAUAUCAAAAGAGGAGGAUGAUGUUCAAGCUAUCACCGAUUGGCCUGCUCUUCAUGUUUGUUAACAUUCCGGGGACAAACUUCAACAUCAACAACCUCAAAUUCUAUGGCAGUAUCCAAUCCUGCGUCAAGCCUGAAUCCCGGGACCAGACCUAAUCCCAGGAAGAGCACCAAUCCCAGAAUGAACCCCAAUCCUGGGAUAAGCCCAGAUCUCAAAAUGACCUCGAGUCCCAAGAUGACUCCAAAUUCCAAGACAAGUCUGAAUAGAGCAGUGACCCCAAAGAGCCACAACUAUGAAUAUGAAUACUGUGACAAAUGGUAGCACCAAUCCUGGGACAAGCCCAAAUCUCAAAAUGACCUCAAAUCCCUAGAUGACUCCAAAUUCCAAGACAAGUCUGAAUACAGCAGUGACCCCAAAGAUAGCCACAACUAUGAAUAUGAACACUGUGACAAAUGGUAGCACCAUACUCAAUCCAAUGGACAACAUUUAUUUUCUAUGUAAUAUUUUUGCUGUUUUGUGUAUACUUGCACUCAGGCUGAAGUGAACUUCAACUGCCUGCAUUCUUAUCUCAGUUUCUUAUUAUUGCUGAAUGACAAGCAUGCUAGGAAAAUAUCAUUUAUUUCAAUUUACUAUUUAAGAAAUUAUCAUCUUGAUUUUUUUUUGCAAAUUAUAAUUGUGUACGUUUAAAUAUUAACUUAAUAUGAUGUUUUCCUUCCAUAUGAAAGAAGUAUGCACUACCUUAUUAA
rnacentral:lncRNA from 1 species